rnacentral:rRNA from 1 species
UUUUUGUUUUAAAUUUAAAGUAAGACCUGCCCACUGAAAUUUUAAAGGGCCGCAGUAUUUUGACUGUGCAAAGGUAGCAUAAUCAUUAGUUUUUUAAUUGAAAGCUUGUAUGAAAGGUUAAAUGAGAAAAAAUCUGUCUCAAAUUUAAAUUAAAAUUUUAUUUUUAAGUUAAAAAGCUUAAAUAUAUUAAAAAGACGAGAAGACCCUAUAGAGUUUUAUUUAAAAUUUAUAUUAAUUAAAGAAAUUAAAUAUAAAUUAUAAAUUUUAUUGGGGUGAUAAAAAAAUUAAAAUAACUUUUUUUUUAUAAAUACAUUAAUUUAUGAAUUCUUGAUCCAUAUUAUUUGAUUAUAAGAAUAAAUUACCUUAGGGAUAACAGCGUAAUUUUUUUAAGAAGUUCUUAUUUUAAAAAGAGAUUGCGACCUCGAUGUUGGAUUAAAAUUAAUAAUUGGUGAAGAAGCUAAUUUAUUAGGUCUGUUCGACCUUUAAAAUUUUACA